AUGCUAACCACAGGAACCGCUGGCUAUAAAAGCCCCCAGGCUGGGGACUCAGCCCCCAGGGCCAGUCAAUUCUGGAUGUUCUUCAAACCAUGGACCAGACGCAAGCCACGUUCUGCUGAGAACCAGACUGAAAUUCACCGUCCACCUUCGCUCCACCCUAGCCUCCUAGUCCCAAGCCUGGCUGUGCGCACAGCUAGGGCAUGUGAGAUGUGUAUUCACUUGGUCCAUGCACGUCACUCACACGCCUUGGAAAGCAAGGACGGGUUUUGAAAGCCCAACCUUGUAGAGAAGGAAUUGGGCUGGGUUCAGUUCCUGCCUAUAGACUCCACAUGUGACCUUUGGCAAGUCACUUAGGCCAAGAAUUUCAGAAGUGUCCAGUGAUUUUGGGUACCCCAACUUCAGACAACUUAAAAGGGGCCUGAUUGUCAGACAGGUCCAGAGCACCCAGCUCUGAAAGUCAGGCACCUUCCAGGCAUCUCAAGUUGGGCACCCAGAAACUGAGACAAUCAAAAAACGAUUAAGCAUUUGGGUCUUAAUCUCUGUCUCUCAGCCUCCUACCUGUAAUGGGGGGAUAAUAAUACCAUCUCUCUCCCAUCUUGUCUCUUUCUGGUCUCAACAAACUAAGUUUUUCGGGGCAUGAACUGUCAUUAGCACGAGUCUGCACAGGGCAUAGCAAGCUGGGGCCCAGAUCUUCAUGUUGGCCUCUAGAGGCUAUUUCUGAAAAGAAAUAGUAUUAUUAUAAACAUAUUAUUCUUUCAUACAUCAAGAUUUGAGGAGCAAAACCCAGGGAAUCAAUGCACACCAUACCCCUCACCGGCCCUUUGUCCUAAGGGACAUCCCGAACACACAAGACCCGAUUUCCCAGCACAAAUCUGAGGAUGCUUUUAUGGUUCGUUGCUGUAAAAUAUUGACAGCAAAAUCACUUGUGAUAACUGGGAAGCUGUCGAGGGCUGGCAGAACAUACCCUUAGCAAGGAAAUGAUUCCCACUUCAUAUCAGGCGCCUUACUUAGCUGUGUUUUGCCUGUGGGUUUGUGCUGUGCACUGUAAAAGCCAGCACUACAUGUCCAUGGGACCAUCAGACCCUAUGUGACAAGGUGGGAAUUUUCGGUAAUAUUUUAUGAUGCCUAUGCGUGCCUCAGUUUCCCUCUGUACUUUGCAUUGCUACCUAGUGGGGGCAAAUGGGUUAAGUCUGCUCUUGGGGCAGUGCAGGAGACAUGAGGUGUGCCUGUCAUCUGGUUGCAGGAGGCAGACUGAAUGGCUCAUUAAAAG
rnacentral:lncRNA from 1 species